rnacentral:rRNA from 1 species
CAGCAGCCGCGGUAAAACGGAGGGUGCAAGCGUUAAUCGGAUUUACUCGGCGUAAAGCGUGCGUAGGCGGCUUCUUAAGUCGGAUGUGAAAUCCCUGAGCUUAACUUAGGAAUUGCAUUCGAUACUGGGUCACUAGAGUGUGGUAGAGGAUAGUGGAAUUUCCGGUGUAGCAGUGAAAUGCGUAGAGAUCGGAAGGAACAUCUGUGGCGAAGGCGACUAUCUGGGCCAACACUGACACUGAGGCACGAAAGCGUGGGGAGCAAACAGGAUUAGAUACCCCCGUAGUCCCUGUCUCUUAUAC